GAAUCUGCCUUCAGGUCGGGGACAACAGCUGGAAACGGUGGCUAAGACCCAAUGUGCCGCAAGGUAAAAGAUUAAUCGCCUGAAGAUGAGCUCGCGUCAGAUUAGCUAGUUGGUGGGGUAAAGGCUCACCAAGGCAACGAUCAGUAGCUGGUCUGAGAGGAUGACCAGCCACACUGGGACUGAGACACGGCCCAGACUCCUACGGGAGGCAGCAGUGGGGAAUUUUCCGCAAUGGGCGCAAGCCUGACGGAGCAAGACCGCGUGGGGGAAGAAGGCUCUUGGGUUGUAAACCCCUUUUGUCAGGGAAGAACACAAUGACGGUACCUGAGGAAUCAGCCUCGGCUAACUCCGUGCCAGCAGCCGCGGUAAUACGGAGGAGGCAAGCGUUAUCCGGAAUUAUUGGGCGUAAAGCGUCCGCAGGUGGCUUAUCAAGUCUGCUGUCAAAGACCGUAGCUCAACCCCGGAAAGGCAGUGGAAACUGAGAAGCUAGAGUGCCGUAGGGGUAGAGGGAAUUCCCGGUGUAGCGGUGAAAUGCGUAGAGAUCGGGAAGAACAUCGGUGGCGAAAGCGCUCUGCUGGACGGCAACUGACACUCAGGGACGAAAGCUAGGGGAGCG
rnacentral:rRNA from 1 species